rnacentral:rRNA from 1 species
GAUAAACGCUGGCGGCGCACAUAAGACAUGCAAGUCGAACGGACUUAACUCAUUCUUUUAGAUUGAGAGCGGUUAGUGGCGGACUGGUGAGUAACACGUAAGCAACCUGCCUAUUAGAGGGGAAUAACAGUGAGAAAUCAUUGCUAAUACCGCAUAUGCUAACAGUAUCGCAUGAUACAGUUAGGAAAGGAGCAAUCCGCUUUGAGAUGGCCUCGCGUCCGAUUAGCUAGUUGGUGAGGUAACGGCCCACCAAGGCGACGAUCGGUAGCCGGACUGAGAGGUUGAACGGCCACAUUGGGACUGAGACACGGCCCAG